GCCAGUGUUGCUCAAUGACUAGAGUGUUGGCUGAUACACCAAAGGAGUCAUGGGUUUGAUUCCCAGUCAAGGGCA
rfam:Myotis lucifugus cont2.9271, whole genome shotgun sequence.